ACUCCUACGGGAGGCAGCAGUGGGGAAUAUUGCACAAUGGGGGAAACCCUGAUGCAGCCAUGCCGCGUGUGUGAAGAAGGCCUUCGGGUUGUAAAGCACUUUCAGUAGGGAGGAAGGUAGUGUAGUUAACACCUGCAUUAUUUGACGUUACCUACAGAAGAAGCACCGGCUAACUCCGUGCCAGCAGCCGCGGUAAUACGGAGGGUGCGAGCGUUAAUCGGAAUUACUGGGCGUAAAGCGCAUGCAGGCGGCUUGUUAAGUCAGAUGUGAAAGCCCGGGGGCUUAACCUCGGAAUUGCAUUUGAAACUGGCAGGCUAGAGUCUUGUAGAGGGGGGUAGAAUUUCAGGUGUAGCGGUGAAAUGCGUAGAGAUCUGAAGGAAUACCAGUGGCGAAGGCGGCCCCCUGGACAAAGACUGACGCUCAGAUGCGAAAGCGUGGGGAGCAAACAGGAUUAGAUACCCUGGUAGCACAGAG
rnacentral:rRNA from 1 species